rnacentral:rRNA from 1 species
AUUGAACGCUGGCGGCAUGCCUUACACAUGCAAGUCGAACGGCAGCGCGGGGCAACCUGGCGGCGAGUGGCGAACGGGUGAGUAAUAUAUCGGAACGUACCCUGGAGUGGGGGAUAACGUAGCGAAAGAUACGCUAAUACCGCAUACGAUCUACGGAGGAAAGCAGGGGACCGCAAGGCCUUGUGCUCCUGGAGCGGCCGAUAUCUGAUUAGCUAGUGGGUGGGGUAAAGGCCUACCAAGGCAGCGAUCAGUAGCUGGUCUGAGAGGACGACCAGCCACGCUGGAACUGAGACACGGUCCAGACUCCUACGGGAGGCAGCAGUGGGGAAUUUUGGACAAUGGGCGCAAGCCUGAUCCAGCAAUGCCGCGUGAGUGAAGAAGGCCUUCGGGUUGUAAAGCUCUUUUGUCAGGGAAGAAACGGUGGGGGCUAAUAUCCUUCACUAAUGACGGUACCUGAAGAAUAAGCACCGGCUAACUACGUGCCAGCAGCCGCGGUAACAC